rnacentral:rRNA from 1 species
UAGGGAAUCUUCGGCAAUGGACGAAAGUCUGACCGAGCAACGCCGCGUGAGUGAAGCAGGUUUUCGGAUCGUAAAACUCUGUUGUUAGAGAAGAACAAGGACGUUAGUAACUGAACGUCCCCUGACGGUAUCUAACCAGAAAGCCACGGCUAACUACGUGCCAGCAGCCGCGGUAAUACGUAGGUGGCAAGCGUUGUCCGGAGUUAUUGGGCGUCAAGCGAGCGCAGGCGGUUUCUUAAGUCUGAUGUGAAAGCCCCCGGCUCAACCGGGGAGGGUCAUUGGAAACUGGGAGACUUGGGUGCGGAAGAGGAGAGUGGAAUUCCAUGUGUAGAGGUGAAAUGCGUAGAUAUAUGGAGGAACACCAGUGGCGAAGGCGACUCGCUGGUCGGAAACUGACGCUGAGGCUCGAAAGCGUGGGGAGCAAACAGG